GACGAACGCUGGCGGCGUGCUUAACACAUGCAAGUCGAGCGAUGAAGUUCCUUCGGGAAUGGAUUAGCGGCGGACGGGUGAGUAACACGUGGGUAACCUGCCUCAUAGAGGGGAAUAGCCUUUCGAAAGGAAGAUUAAUACCGCAUAAGAUUGUAGUAUCGCAUGAUACAGCAAUUAAAGGAGUAAUCCGCUAUGAGAUGGACCCGCGUCGCAUUAGCUAGUUGGUGAGGUAACGGCUCACCAAGGCGACGAUGCGUAGCCGACCUGAGAGGGUGAUCGGCCACAUUGGGACUGAGGCACGGCCCGGACGCCUACGGGAGGCAGCAGUGGGGAAUAUUGCACAAUGGGGGAAACCCUGAUGCAGCAACGCCGCGUGAGUGAUGACGGUCUUCGGAUUGUAAAGCUCUGUCUUCAGGGACGAUAAUGACGGUACCUGAGGAGGAAGCCACGGCUAACUACGUGCCAGCCGCCGCCGUAA
rnacentral:rRNA from 1 species